CUGCUCUGUCUUCCAGAAAGGCUGUACCAGCAUGGAAUGACUAAUUCCUGCCCUUCUACCAUGCUGGCUUGUUCAGCGGACCAAAUGAAAAACUGAGAAAACUGUUGUGUCUUCCCGUAGGAUGUUGGAGUGAAUCUACCAUGCAUGACUCAUGUUUCCAUCCCUAUCAUCCUGGGUAGGGAAGCACCAAGCUGAGGACUCUGGAUCCUUUCAGGCUCUAAUGACAAUGCACAUCCAGCAUUUGUGGACUACAAAUGGGGACAGCAAGAGAGAGAAAACCUGGGGAGAACGGAAGAAACCAUGCUUUGUAGAAUGGAUCCUGCUUCAGAAUUGCUGAUCUCAUCAACCACAUGUUUAUAGAGAGAGCAGUGGCCCUUAAGGAACUGGAGAGAAUGCUCUGAUUUACUUCUGUCCGGCAUGGUGAACAGCAGGAUUGGCUGUAGCUGUUCUCUUUGCCAAGGACAGAUCUGAUCUGAUUGCCUUGAGGUGAAAGUGAGGAAGUGAGGAGCGUCUCUGCCCGGCCACCCAUCGUCUGAGAUGUGGGGAGCGCCUCUGCCCCGCCGCCCCGUCUGGGAUGUGAGGAGCGCUUCGGCCCGGCCGCGACCCCGUCUGGGAGGUGAGGAGCGUCUCUGCCCGGCCGCCCCGUCUGAGAAGUGAGGAGACCCUCCACCUGGCAACUGCCCCAUCUGAGAACGGCAUUCCAGAUUUUUCUGCAGUCCAGAAUAGAGCACCACCACCAUAGCAUUUCAAGCUCAUUCUAAGUUCAUCUUAUCAAUGACAAGAGGAGACACGUUGUUCAUUCAUGUAUGAGGUAGUACUUUCCAAUUGAAGACAUUGCUUUGAAAGAGACUGCCAAAUUGGUUUCAUUGAGAAGGAAUGAAAGAAGCUAAAAGGCUUUCACCUGAGAUUUGACAAUAGCCAGAAAACCUCUGUUAAUAAUGAAUGUUUCCCUAUCUGCAAAGUGAAGAUAUGUUUCAAUGCUUCAACGCAUAGGAAGUCUGUAGAACAGUGCAAAGAAUAUACAGGCAUACCUUGAAGAUAUUACAGUUUUGGUUCCAGACCAUCAUAAAAAGGUGGAUAUUGCAAUAAGGCUGGAGUGCAGUGGCGUGAUCUCGGCUCGCACAACCUCCACCUCCCAGCCGCCUGCCUUGGCCCCCCAAAGUGCCGAGAUUGCAGCCUCUGCCCGGCCGCCACCCCGUCUGGGAAGUGAGGAGCGUCUCUGCCUAGCCGCCCAUCGUCUGGGAUGUGAGGAGCCCCUCUGCCUGGCUGCCCAGUCUGGAAAAUGAGGAGCGUCUCUGCCCGGCCGCCAUCCCAUAUAGGAAGUGAGGAGGGCCUCUUCCCGACAGCCAUCCCAUCUAGGAAGUGAGGAGCGUCUCUGCCCGGCCGCCCAUCGUCUGAGAUGUGGGUAGCACCUCUGCCCCGCCACCCCGUCCGGGAUGUGAGGAGCGCCUCUACCCGGCCGCGACCCUGUCUGGGAGGUGAGGAGCGUCUCUGCCCGGCCGCCCCGUCUGAGAAGUGAGGAGACCCUCCGCCUGACAACCGCCCCGUCUGAGAAGUGAGGAGCCCCUCCACCCGGCAGCCUCCCCGUCAGAGAAGUGAGGAGCCCCUCCGCCCGGCAGCCACCCCGUCUGGGAAGUGAGGAGCGUCUCCGCCCGGCAGCCACCCCGUCCGGGAGGGAGGUGGGGGGGUCAGCCAGCCGCCCCGUCCAGGAGGGAGGUGGGCGGGUCAGCCCCCUGCCCGGCCGGCCGACCCGUCCAGGAGGGAAGUGGGGGGGUCAGCCCCCCGCCCGGCCAGCCGCCCCGUCCGGGAGGUGAGGGGCGCCUCUGCCCGGCCGCCCCUACUGGGAAGUGAGGAGCUCCUCUGCCCGGCCAGCCGCC
rnacentral:lncRNA from 1 species